rnacentral:tRNA from 1 species
GGUUAUAUAGCUCAGUGGUAGAGUACAUGCUUAUUUAGCAUGCAUGAGGUCCUGGGUUUAAUCCCUAGUACCCCCA